CCCCCCCUUUCCACUUUAAACUGAUGUGGUUGGAAGAUAAAUCUAUGGCUGAUGUUGUCCAUCGUUCUUGGGCUACUGUUAUGCCUCAUUACUAGCUAGGUUUCAUUUUGUCCAGCAAGCUUAAGUUAUUGAAGAAUAACCUUAAGCCUUGGGUAGAACCAAAUUUGGUUGUAUUGCUGAUAAUAUUGACAUGCUUGAACGUGAUAUCUCCACCCUUAACUCCUUGGACCAACUUAAUUAGGGUCUUUCUCAGGAUUAGGUGGAUGUUAGAAAUUCUAAAAAACAUGACCUUGAGUACCUUCUUAGACUUCAAUUUUUUUUGGUACCAAAGAUUUAGAUCCAAGUGGGUUAAUGAGGGAGAUAAUAAUACCAAAUAUUUUCAUAUUAUUGCUAAUUUGAGGAAUAAAUCCAACUGUCUUUUUGGUUUAUCUAUUCAGGGUGUUGAUAUGGAUAAUCUGUUAGCUGUUAGUAAUGCUAUUAUCAAUCAUUUUAACCAUGCCUUUUCGUUAGAGACUAGGCUACCCUUUCGACUUCGGGGAUGCACCUUUUAAGGCUCUUUUCAAGGCUUCUGCGGUGACCUUAGAAUGUCAGUUUACUAUUGACAAAAUUAGAGAGGUUGUUUUUUAUCUGCCUAGAGAUAAGGCCCCUGGCCCAUACGGCUUCCCCUUGGCUUUUUUCUAAGAUUCUGGGAGGUCCUUCAGUAUGACAUUGUUGGCUAGUUCAACUUGUGUUUUAUAAUGAUGGGAUUGUGACCAAUGCUAUUAAUUCUACUUUUAUCUCUCUUAUCCCUAAAAAAAGGCAUAUACCUUCCCUUUAUGAUAUUCGACUGAUCAACCUUACAAUGUCAGUUUAUUAUUGACAAAAUUAGAAAGGUUGUUUUUUAUCUGCCUAGAGAUAAGGCCCCUGGCCUAUACGGCUUCCCUUUGGUGACUUUAGAAUGUCAGUUUACUAUUAAUGAAAUUAGAAAGGUUGUUUUUUAUCUGCCUAGAGAUAAGGCCCCUGGCCCAUAUGGCUUCCCCUUGGCUUUUUUCUAAGAGUUCUGGGAGGUCCUUCAGUAUGACAUUGUUUGCUAGUUCAACUUGUGUUUAUAAUGAUGGGAUUGUGACCAAUGCUAUUAAUUCUACUUUUAUCUCUCUUAUCCCUAAAAAAAAUUCAUAUAGCUUCCCUUUUUGAUAUUCAACUGAUCAACCUUCUCUCUAGCAUGUAUAAGAUUUUAGCUAAGGUCCUGGCUAACUGUCUUCGCCUGGUGAUCAAUGAGGUCGUCGAGGGACCUCAAACUGCUUUCAUUAAAGUUUGUUACAUUAUGGACGGUAUCUUGUUUGCUCAAGAGACUAUCCAUACGGCUGAAUCCUUGGGUCUUAGUAGUUUGUUACUGAAGAUUGAUUUCAAAAAGGCAUACGAGCGGGUGGAAUGGGACUACCUUGAUAAUAUUAUGGCUCUCAUGGGCUUUGGCUUGAAAUGGAGAUUACGGAUUAGGGGUUGUCUUUCGUCUGCUCACUUCUCUGUCUUGAUUAAUGGUAAGGCUAAUGGCUACUUCUGUGCCACUAGGGGCCUCAGACAGGGGGAUCCUCUCUCUCCCUUCUUCUUUACCCUUGUGGCUGAAGCUUUCAGUAAAAUGCAACAGGGUUUGGUGGAGUCUAAUUCAUUAAGGGCUUGCCCCCUUGGCCCAAUGGCAGUUGAUUAAUCAUCUAUAAUAUGCAGAUGACACUCUGAUCCUUUUAGAGGGAUCUGAUGAUAAUGUCCAUAAUAUCUGGCUUUUGCUUUAUGAACUUUUUCUUAAGCUUUAUGAAUUAAUUUCAGGGGCUUGUAUCAAUAUGGAUAAGUCCACGCUAUUGGGUAUUAAUUGUUCCACCACUUCUAUCUCUAACUGGGUUUCUUGGCUCGAAUGUGGGGUGGAGCAAUUUCCUACCAAAUAUCUGGGCGUGCCCCUUCUUAAUAGCAGUGCUCCGAGAUCCCUUUGGGAUCCUCUCAUUCAUAGAGCAUAGACUAAAUUGGACGGUUGGAAGGCCUGAUACAUGUCCUUUGCUGGCAGAAUGACUUUGAUCAAUGCUACUCUUUCUAACACCUCUAUUUAUUACGUCUCUCUCUUUCAGGCGCUUGCGGCUGUUAUUGCUAAAAUUGAAGCUUUAUUAUGCAAUUUUCUUUGGAACGGAUCCCAUAAUAAGAAAAGUUGCAUCUAGUCAGAUGGGAGUCGGUAUGCCAAUCAAAAGUGAUGGGGGGUUUGGGUAUACAGAGACUUAAGAGCAGUCAAUGACUCAUUGCUUGCCAAAUGGUGGUGGAGGCUGUCCAUACAUGGAGACCAACUCUGGGCUAAGGUUAUCCUUGGCAAAUAUGGUUUGGAACCUGAUGGUCGCUAUGCAAGAAGAAGAUCGGUCUCAUGUCACAUUUCCAUGGUUUGGAAAGGUAUUAAAGGCGUUACAAUCCUCUUUUUGGCCCUACUCUAGGUGGUUGGUUGGAGAUGGUCGAAAUACUAGAUUUUGGCAUGCCAAGUGGCUGAGGGAAUAUCCUCUUAAAAUGGUGUUUCCUGCCCUCUAGACCAAAUUCAACCAGAAAAGAACUAUGGUUACAGACAUGGUUGCCCUUGUUCAAGGAAAACCGGUUUGGAAUGUUACCAUUUCUACUAGAAGAGUAGACCAUCAAGUUGAAGCCCAAUUCCUGACUCUCAUGGAUUCUUUGUAUUCAUUUUGUUUCAAUCCUUGGAAGAGAGACAUGUUCAUUUGGAGCCUUGAGCCUUUGGGUUACUUCUCUAUCAAAUCUCUCUAUAAAGAAAUUUGGAAGGAUAGGUACCUUGAGGAUAAAAGGUAUCUUGCCAAAAUUUGGAAGUGCAAGGCACCCCUCAGAGUUAGAGCUUUCAUGUGCCUUUUUCCAUACAGGAGAUUGCUCAUUGUCGAUCAAUUGCACCAAAGAGGUAUGAUUAUUAUCAAUGUUUGCCUGAUGUGCAAGGAGGACGAGGAAACCAUGACCAUUUAUUUCUGAGAUGCAAGCAUGCUGCUGCCAUCUAAGAAUGGGUUGAUAGUCUGACGGCCUGGCAUGGACCUUGGCCACAUGAUGCCAAAAAAUUUCUACAACAACUUUGGACCCCACCCUUUACCUUCUAGGUCGUCAACUUUGGAGAAUUACUAUUGCUGCCUCUUUGUGGACCUUGUAGAAAACUCGCGAACUUUCGAGGGUCUCUCCAGGGACUCUUCAUCCUUAAUUUCCGACAUUCAGCCUUGACCAUCAUGUGGGUUUAUGCCUCUCUUCCCCUCAUGGUCGUUCCUAAUCUGCUUCUUUCUCUUCCUUUAACGAUAUUUUAUUUCUUAUACCAAGGUUUCCAAGAUGAAUUGGUGUGGGACUCUGAAUGUGGUGAUAUUUUUUCUAUUAGAUCCACUUACAAUCUUUUGUGUCAUGAUAGGAUCAGAUGGAAUAGGGGCUCAAUGCGUAAGCUAUGGUCUUGGAGGAUACUACAAAAGGUGAAAGUUUUCCUGUGGGUGUUGUUCCAAGGGAAAUGUUUGACAGUGGACAAUCUUAUCAAAAGAGAAGGUAGGAAGCAUGAUCUUUUAGAUAUGAAGGGCUGCAACCUUUGGGAGAUAUGGCUAGAAAGGAAUAGAAGGGUGUUUGAGGGAUUGAGUUUGGAGGGGGAUUUAGUGAAAAAGGAAAUCUAGCAUACAAUUUGGAAUUUGUUUCUGAUUACAAGUGAAGGAUUUGGGAUAUCUAAAGUGGACAUGGAAAUGAAUGUUAGGAAUUUAAUGUUGCAAAAGAUGGUGAAGGUGAGACAUAAAGGGAGGUGGGUAGCUCCUUCAGUGAGUUGUUUAAAGCUGAAUUGUGAUGGUAGUUCCUUAGGGAAUCCGGGGCCGGCAGACGUUGGUGGAGUAUUGAGGAAUCAUCUCGGUGAACGUAUAUUUUGUUUUGCUGGGCCUUGUGGUUCUAAAACAACAAAUGAGGCGGAGAUGGUUGCUGUGAUACAAGGAUUGAAAAUUAUCAGGGGAUCAAGGAAUACAAGGUUGUUGCGUGGAAGAUGAGAUCGGAAUGGAUGAAAAUAAUGGACCUUAUUCGUGAUAUGACAAUUUAUUUCCAACAUAUUUACAGAGAAGGCAAUGAAGUGGCUGAUUCUUUGGCAAAGAGAGGAGGUUUGAUGCAGGAUCUAUUGACUUCUGAUGUUUUUUCUAAUGCACUGUAACCGAAAUUAAUCAAUAAAGUUACGAAACAUUUGUCAAAAAAAAUAUUUCUUAAACAUCGUCGAAUGUCCAUUCGAUGUGUGUGGUUUAAACCACCGGAUGGCUGACUGAAAUUGAAUUUUGAUGGUAGUGUAAGGGGGUAAGGCCUGGUUAUGGUGGUUUUCUCCGUGACCACAAUGGUUCCGUCAUUUGGUCUUAUUCAGGUACCCUUCACACCUGUGAGAUCAAUGAAGCUGAGUUUCGGGCAGCUAAAAUGGGAGUUUCACGUCAUGCUCAGUCCCAAAGGAAGAUUAUCAUUGGAGGUCACUCAGCAUAUACGGUCUUAUGGUGCGCCCAGCCCUCCCGGGUACCUUGGAGACUGAGUGUCAUUAUGGAAGAAAUCCUUCUCAGGAUUGAAGACAAGGAAUGCGUCUUCGUCCAUGUUUAUAGAAGCGCCAACUCUAAUGCUGAUUUGUUGGCUAAACUGACUACUGGUUAAUUUUGUCUUAGAUGUUGUUUUGAGCGCUUGGUGCUAACUUUCCCUUCCUGUUUGAUUUUGGUUUCUUGUUUCCUUUAUUUUCUUUUGACCUUUAUGUAGUACUUCUUCAUUAUCUUAAUGAAUGUCGCAUUUUCUAUA